CUUACUUUAGUUUAAUCAGAAUAAUGGUUUUGGGGAUCAUUGGUCUCAGUUUGAGAAGUUUGG
rnacentral:tRNA from 1 species